GUGGUGUGGAUGUUUAUUGGGCCUAAAGCAUCCGUAGCUGGCUGAACAAGUCCCCUGUUAAACCCACCGAUUUAAUCGUUGGUCUGCGGGGGAUACUGCUCGGCUAGGGGACGAGAGAGGCAGACGGUAUUCCCGGGGUAGGGGUGAAAUCCUAUAAUCCCGGGAAGACCACCAGUGGCGAAGGCUGUCGGCUAGA
rnacentral:rRNA from 1 species